CAUGGCUGAUCCUACCAAUAGUAUAUUUGUGCUUGUCUCAAAUAUUAAGCUAUGCAAGUCUAAGUACUCACAGCUGGUAGAGUAAAACUGUAAAUAGUUCAUUAAACCAUCUGUGGUUCCUUUAGUUGCUUGUUCCUCUUCUACUUGGAUAACUGUGCUGAUUCUAGAGCUGAUACAUGUCUUCUCAGCGGUGACACAUGCACGUGUCAGAUCAAAACCAACUUAGCAGCCCUUUUCCAACUCCAGCUGGACAGCUGCAUUGGUGAUGCUAGAUAACUUUAGGCCAAUCCAUGCCCCCGUGGCAGUGAUGACCCAUUCAAAUAUGUGAUGGAUCAAUUUCCCAUGGUAGUUGCUGUACCUACCAUGGUGACCAUGGGUAACGGAAAAUCAGAGUUUGAUUCCAGAGAGGGAGUCUGAGAUACUGCUAAGACAUUCAAGGAAGACAGCAGGCAUGCAAAUUAUCCACUCCCAACCCAGGAAGUAGUGACAAAAAAUAACAAUAAAUGACUUUUUCAAGGCUCUAAAAUUGGAAUGAGUCCGAUUGUAAAAUUUUUUCAUAGGAUCCAUUGGCAAAUUUGGUAUCAGUACCCAAGGUAAUCCAGCUCCAACAGCAUAUAUUAAAGUUGCUGCAGUUAAAAACUCAGAGCUGGAUCUUGGGAGACGGUGGCAGUUUGCCAAGAGCCAAGCCACUGCCCAUCUUUUCCCCUUGCUGCUCAUUGCUCCCUUGCUGUUCUUAGCUGACUGUUUCAUGAGACUCAAAGUACUUACUUGGGAAAAAAAUGAGUGUUCAAAGUAGGCCUGAGUCACCUGAAUACUGUAGUUAGGAAUAAUGGAAUAAAAAUGUGGUUCUAUAUUUUGGUUUGCAGGACUGAGACCAUAAUUAAAUGGGACUCCAGGGACAUUUAUUUUCACUACUAGAGGAGAAACUCUUGGACUAGUACAAGACAAACCAGAGAGAAAGCAUUUGCCAAGAAUGUUUCCAUUAAUCAAGAAUGACAGUCAGAAAGAGGUUCAAAGACGAUCAGAUACUAUCCUGGUUCUGACCAUAAACAAUGUUGACCAAUGUUAUUUCCAUGACCUGCGGGGCAGCUUCUGGGAAACCAAAGUCUUUGGGUUCUGGGGAGAGUAUGCCUGCAAAGCUGAAAAUUAUAGGGAUUAGAGUGAAGAACAUCACCAGAACUGAAGUCUGUGGCUUAGCCUGACUCAACAUUAGAAAUUUCACCCAGUCAGGACGUGGACACAACUGAUGACUCUUUUUGGAUUUUGUGGGUGAUGAUAUAUGGCCAUUCUUAGUAGGUGAGGCAAUUUGUCUGUUUGAUUUUGAUAAUUAACGAGACUCUGGCAUGCUAAUUAGUUACAAGACCAGUGAGAAGUCAGGGUACCCCAAUUUCUUAGAGGGCCAAUUGGUGUUUAGUCACCCAAGAUUGAGUAAUAAAUGGUCUGUAAUACCCUUCGAUGUCUGGGGCUGCAUGAGGGCUAUACUGAUUGGCUCAGUGUGUGCCUACCCUAUGUAGGCAGGCAUUAGUAACCCCAUUCCUGAUGGGGAUAGGGGACUACAAUUAUUUCCAACGAAUGAAGGAUUCCUAGUAACUGUGGAUCAUAAACUUGCAUUGAUUAAGUCCAUGCCACUUGUAUACACUGUCACUUGCAGUGUAUUCAAUUGGAUAGUUUAGUGAGGCCUUUGGAUCUCUUUGUUGAGGUUGACCCAUGGCACUUUGGGGUGCUAAAAGAAAGACAGAACUUGACUAUUUAGAGAAAGCAAAAUACCUAACAUGGUUCCUGUUGGUGAACCUACAGGAA
rnacentral:rRNA from 1 species